AAAAAUACUAAUGAUUUCAUUACAUGAUCAGAUGAGCGAAAUGGCGUACACAUCGGUCUAAAGGCUGCUUCGGAUUGGCUUUUUGUAUAUCCAAAGGGAAUUCAUGAUCUUUUGCUCUAUGUCAAGUAUAAAUUCAAAGAUCCAAUCAUCUACAUAACAGAAAAUGGAGUUGAUGAAGCUAGUUCUAACGAGAUAUUUCUUGAG